rnacentral:pre_miRNA from 7 species
UUUUGAACCAUGACAGUGAAAGACCCCCGAAGGGAGACCCUCACUCAAGCCUCGGGACAGCCGCGGACCCAAGAAGACACUGAGACCG